rnacentral:rRNA from 1 species
CCUACGGGAGGCAGCAGUGGGGAAUAUUGGGCAAUGGGCGAAAGCCUGACCCAGCAAUGCCGCGUGAAGGAAGAAGGCUUUCGGGUUGUAAACUUCUUUUGACAGGGAAGAGCAGAAGACGGUACCUGUCGAAUAAGCCACGGCUAACUACGUGCCAGCAGCCGCGGUAAUACGUAGGUGGCAAGCGUUGUCCGGAUUUACUGGGUGUAAAGGGCGUGUAGGCGGGCUGACAAGUCAGAUGUGAAAUCCGGGGGCUCAACCCCCGAACUGCAUUUGAAACUGUUGGUCUUGAGUAUCGGAGAGGCAGGCGGAAUUCCUGGUGUAGCGGUGAAAUGCGUAGAUAUUACGAGGAACACCAGUGGCGAAGGCAGCCUGCUGGACGACAACUGACGGUGAGGCGCGAAAGCGUGGGGAGCAAACAGGAUUAGAUACCCCAGUAGUC